rnacentral:rRNA from 1 species
GACGAACGCUGGCGGCGUGCUUAAUACAUGCAAGUUGAGCGGAGCCAAGAGUAAGCUUGCUUAUUUUUGGUCGAGCGGCGGACGGGUGAGUAACGCGUGGGCAACCUGCCCUCUAGCCCGGGAUAACAGAGCGAAAGUUCUGCUAACACCGGAUAUGCUUCCGAAGGGACAUCCCUUAGGGAGGAAAGUUAACGCUAGAGGAUGGGCCCGCGUCCCAUUAGCUAGUUGGUGAGGUAACGGCCCACCAAGGCGACGAUGGGUAGCCGACCUGAGAGGGUGACCGGCCACAAUGGGACGGAGACACGGCCCAGACUCCUACGGGAGGCAGCAGUAGGGAAUCUUCCACAAUGGACGAAAGUCUGAUGGAGCAACGCCGCGUGAACGAUGAAGGCCUUCGGGUCGUAAAGUUCUGUUGUAAGGGAAGAACAAGUGCCGCAGGCAAUGGCGGCACCUUGACGGUACCUUGCGAGAAAGCCACGGCUAACUACGUGCCAGCCGCCGCGGUAAUAC